rnacentral:rRNA from 1 species
UCGAACGGUAACAGGGAGCUUGCUCCGCUGACGAGUGGCGAACGGGUGAGUAACGUAUCGGAACGUACCUUUCAGUGGGGGAUAACGCAGCGAAAGUUGCGCUAAUACCGCAUAUUCUGUGAGCAGGAAAGCAGGGGAUCGCAAGACCUUGCGCUGAUUGAGCGGCCGAUAUCAGAUUAGCUAGUUGGUGAGGUAAAGGCUCACCAAGGCGACGAUCUGUAGCGGGUCUGAGAGGAUGAUCCGCCACACUGGAACUGAGACACGGUCCAGACUCCUACGGGAGGCAGCAGUGGGGAAUUUUGGACAAUGGGGGCAACCCUGAUCCAGCCAUGCCGCGUGAGUGAAGAAGGCCUUCGGGUUGUAAAGCUCUUUCAGCCGGGAAGAAAUCGCACAGGCUAAUACCUUGUGUGGAUGACGGUACCGGAAUAAGAAGCACCGGCUAACUACGUGCCAGCAGCCGCGGUAAUACGUAGGGUGCGAGCGUUAAUCGGAAUUACUGGGCGUAAAGCGUGCGCAGGCGGUU